rnacentral:rRNA from 1 species
AGUGAACGCUGGCGGUAUGCCUAACACAUGCAAGUCGAACGGCAGCACAGUAAUAGCUUGCUCUUACGGGUGGCCAGUGGCGUACGGGUGAGGUAUACAUCGUAAUCUACUUUUUCGUGGGGGAUAACGUAGGGGAACUUACGCUAAUACCGCAUACGACCUUCGGGUGAGAGCAGGGGAUCUUCUGACCUUGCGCGAUUGAAUGCGCCGAUGUCGGAUUAGCUAGUUGGCGGGGUAAAUGCCCACCAAGGCGGCGAUCCGUAGCUGGUCUGAGAGGAUGGUAAGCGACACUGGAACUGAGACACGGACAAGGCUCCUAAGGGAGGCAGCAGUGGGGAACAGUAGACAGUGGGGGCAAGCAUGAUCCAGUCAUACCGCGUGGGUGAAGAAGGCCUUCGGGUUGGAAAGCCGUCUUGUUGGGAAAGAAAAGCAGCAGGUUAAUACCACGCUGUUGUGACGGUACCCAAAGAAGAAGCACCGGCUAACUUCGUG